rnacentral:rRNA from 1 species
UACGUAGGGGGCAAGCGUUGUCCGGAUUUAUUGGGCGUAAAGAGCGUGUAGGCGGCCAGGUAGGUCAGCUGUGAAAACUCGAGGCUCAACCUCGAGACGCCGGUUGAAACCAUCUGGCUAGAGUCCGGAAGAGGAGAGUGGAAUUCCUGGUGUAGCGGUGAAAUGCGCAGAUAUCAGGAAGAACACCCGUGGCUAAGGCGGCUCUCUAGUACGGUACUGACGCUGAGGCGCGAGAGCGUGGGGAGCAAACCGG